rnacentral:misc_RNA from 1 species
GAUGAAGAACGCAGCGAAAUGCGAUACGUAAUGUGAAUUGCAGAAUUCAGCGAAUCAUCGAGUCUUUGAACGCACAUUGCGCCCCCUGGUAUUCCGGGGGGCAUGCCUGUCCGAGCGUCAUUGCUGCCCUCAAGCACGGCUUGUGUGUUGGGCCUCCGUCCUCCUCCCGGGGGACGGGCCCGAAAGGCAGCGGCGGCACCGCGUCCGGUCCUCGAGCGUAUGGGGCUUCGUCACCCGCUCUUGUAGGCCCGGCCGGCGCUUGCCGACACAUCAAUCUUUUUUCCAGGUUGACCUCGGAUCAGGUAGGGAUACCCGCUGAACUUAAGCAUAUCAUAAGCGGAGGA